UUAAGCGACUAAGCGUACACGGUGGAUGCCCUGGCAGUCAGAGGCGAUGAAGGACGUGCUAAUCUGCGAAAAGCGUCGGUAAGGUGAUAUGAACCGUUAUAGCCGGCGAUGUCCGAAUGGGGAAACCCAGUGCAAUUCGUUGCACUAUCGUUUGAUGAAUACAUAGUCAAACGAGGCGAACCGGGGGAACUGAAACAUCUAAGUACCCCGAGGAAAAGAAAUCAACCGAGAUUCCCCCAGUAGCGGCGAGCGAACGGGGAGCAGCCCGGAGUCUGAAUCAGCUUGUGUGUUAGUGGAAGCGUCUGGAAAGUCGCAGGGUACAGGGUGAUACUCCCGUACACUAAAACACACAGGCUGUGAACUCGAAGAGUAGGGCGGGACACGUGGUAUCCUGUCUGAAUAUGGGGGGACCAUCCUCCAAGGCUAAAUACUCCUGACUGACCGAUAGUGAACCAGUACCGUGAGGGAAAGGCGAAAAGAACCCCGGCGAGGGGAGUGAAAAAGAACCUGAAACCGUGUACGUACAAGCAGUAGGAGCCUCUUUAUGGGGUGACUGCGUACCUUUUGUAUAAUGGGUCAGCGACUUAUAUUCUGUAGCAAGGUUAACCGUAUAGGGGAGCCGCAGGGAAACCGAGUCUUAACUGGGCGUUAAGUUGCAGGGUAUAGACCCGAAACCCGGUGAUCUAGCCAUGGGCAGGUUGAAGGUUGGGUAACACUAACUGGAGGACCGAACCGACUAAUGUUGAAAAAUUAGCGGAUGACUUGUGGCUGGGGGUGAAAGGCCAAUCAAACCGGGAGAUAGCUGGUUCUCCCCGAAAGCUAUUUAGGUAGCGCCUCGUGAAUUCAUCUUCGGGGGUAGAGCACUGUUUCGGCUAGGGGGUCAUCCCGACUUACCAACCCGAUGCAAACUACGAAUACCGAAGAAUGUUAUCACGGGAGACACACGGCGGGUGCUAACGUCCGUCGUGAAGAGGGAAACAACCCAGACCGCCAGCUAAGGUCCCAAAGUCAUGGUUAAGUGGGAAACGAUGUGGGAAGGCCCAGACAGCCAGGAUGUUGGCUUAGAAGCAGCCAUCAUUUAAAGAAAGCGUAAUAGCUCACUGGUCGAGUCGGCCUGCGCGGAAGAUGUAACGGGGCUAAACCAUGCACCGAAGCUGCGGCAGCGACACUAUGUGUUGUUGGGUAGGGGAGCGUUCUGUAAGCCGUUGAAGGUGGCCUGUGAGGGUUGCUGGAGGUAUCAGAAGUGCGAAUGCUGACAUAAGUAACGAUAAUGCGGGUGAAAAACCCGCACGCCGGAAGACCAAGGGUUCCUGUCCAACGUUAAUCGGGGCAGGGUGAGUCGACCCCUAAGGCGAGGCCGAAAGGCGUAGUCGAUGGGAAACAGGUUAAUAUUCCUGUACUCGGUGUUACUGCGAAGGGGGGACGGAGAAGGCUAUGUUGGCCGGGCGACGGUUGUCCCGGUUUAAGCAUGUAGGCGGAUGUUCCAGGUAAAUCCGGAACGUUAUCAACGCUGAGGUGUGAUGACGAGGCACUACGGUGCUGAAGUGACAAAUGCCCUGCUUCCAGGAAAAGCCUCUAAGCAUCAGGUAACAUCAAAUCGUACCCCAAACCGACACAGGUGGUCAGGUAGAGAAUACCAAGGCGCUUGAGAGAACUCGGGUGAAGGAACUAGGCAAAAUGGUGCCGUAACUUCGGGAGAAGGCACGCUGAUAGGUAGGUGAAGUGGUUUACCCAUGGAGCUGAAAUCAGUCGAAGAUACCAGCUGGCUGCAACUGUUUAUUAAAAACACAGCACUGUGCAAACACGAAAGUGGACGUAUACGGUGUGACGCCUGCCCGGUGCCGGAAGGUUAAUUGAUGGGGUUAUCCGUAAGGAGAAGCUCUUGAUCGAAGCCCCGGUAAACGGCGGCCGUAACUAUAACGGUCCUAAGGUAGCGAAAUUCCUUGUCGGGUAAGUUCCGACCUGCACGAAUGGCGUAAUGAUGGCCAGGCUGUCUCCACCCGAGACUCAGUGAAAUUGAACUCGCUGUGAAGAUGCAGUGUACCCGCGGCAAGACGGAAAGACCCCGUGAACCUUUACUAUAGCUUGACACUGAACACUGGUCCUUGAUGUGUAGGAUAGGUGGGAGGCUUUGAAGCGUGGACGCCAGUCUGCGUGGAGCCAUCCUUGAAAUACCACCCUUUAAUGGCUGGUGUUCUAACGUGGGCCCCUAAUCGGGGUUGCGGACAGUGUCUGGUGGGUAGUUUGACUGGGGCGGUCUCCUCCUAAAGAGUAACGGAGGAGCACGAAGGUCAGCUAAUCCUGGUCGGACAUCAGGAGGUUAGUGCAAUGGCAUAAGCUGGCUUGACUGCGAGCGUGACGGCGCGAGCAGGUGCGAAAGCAGGUCAUAGUGAUCCGGUGGUUCUGAAUGGAAGGGCCAUCGCUCAACGGAUAAAAGGUACUCCGGGGAUAACAGGCUGAUACCGCCCAAGAGUUCAUAUCGACGGCGGUGUUUGGCACCUCGAUGUCGGCUCAUCACAUCCUGGGGCUGAAGUAGGUCCCAAGGGUAUGGCUGUUCGCCAUUUAAAGUGGUACGCGAGCUGGGUUUAGAACGUCGUGAGACAGUUCGGUCCCUAUCUGCCGUGGGCGCUGGAGAAUUGAGGGGGGCUGCUCCUAGUACGAGAGGACCGGAGUGGACGCAUCACUGGUGUUCGGGUUGUCAUGCCAAUGGCAUUGCCCGGUAGCUAAAUGCGGAAGAGAUAAGUGCUGAAAGCAUCUAAGCACGAAACUUGCCCCGAGAUGAGUUCUCCCUGACUCCUUGAGAGUCCUGAAGGAACGUUGAAGACGACGACGUUGAUAGGCCGGGUGUGUAAGCGCAGCGAUGCGUUGAGCUAACCGGUACUAAUGAACCGUGAGGCUUAACCUU
rnacentral:rRNA from 2 species